rnacentral:lncRNA from 1 species
AAUUUUUGUGUCUAUCUCUAUAAGUAGGAUUGACCUGUAAUUCUUGACCUGUCACCCAGGCUGGAGUGCAGUGGUGUGAUCGUAGCUCACUGUUUUGAAAUGUCAAAAGCUGGCUCCCCAAACAUUACCAACACAACCUGUUGAUGAGACAAAGAUGACAGUUUGAUGAGACAAAUGCUCACAGCAGUAAGAGAAUACUAACUCUGCAGAGCUUUAGCAAUGUCUCUGAAGAGCGGAGAAAUAUUAACCAACCAUUAUACGCAAGCAAGCUACUGUCCCAAGCACUGAAAACAGAUGGGUUCUCUGUCCUCAAGCAACUUAAAGUUAAACGGAAAAAGACAGAACAUAAAUAAAUCUUCAAAAUAAGUGUUGAACUUCAGUCUGUGUAUUUGAUAUCUUCUGUGAUCAAGAAUCUUACCAAAAAACUAAUCAGCACCAUAGUAGGAAAACGUGAUCGUUAAAGCAACUGAAGAUAAAACAGUUCUUGAGGAAAAAGUCUGACUUCAUUUUUCUGUCAUAUCCUACUAGACUGAGAAUCAUAGAAUUUGAUUUAAAAGGUAUAGUAGUUUUCUAUGGCUUCUGUGACAGUUUUCCACAAACUUAGUGGCUUAAAACAUCACAAGUGUAUUAUCUUACAGUUCUGUAGUCUGGCAUGAAUUUCACUGGGCUAAAAUCAAGGCAUUGGCAGGGCACCUGCAUUCCUUUUGUAGGCUCUAGGACAAGAUUCAUUUUCUUGCUCCUUUGGGCUGUUGGCAGAAUUCAAUUCCUUGUGAUUUUAGGACUGAGGUCUCCUUUUUUAUUGCAGUUAUCCAUUGAGGGCCUUUCCUGGCUUCUAGAGGCCCCUACAUUUCUUGGCUUAUGGUUCCCUUCUUCCAUCUUCAAAGUCAGAAACUGUGAUUUGAAGUCCUUUUGUAUUUGAAUCUUUCCUCCUUUCAUCUCACUUCUCUGGUACAUUCUUCUUCCCUAGUAGGAAUCACAUGAAUAGUCCAAGAUAAUCUCCCAAUCUCAACGUUCUUCACUUUUACAUUUGCAAGUCCCUUUGACUAUGUGAAGUAACACAUUCACGUCACAGUGUCUGGGGAUUAGGAUGUAGACAUCUUUGGGGUUGGAAGUGGGGCAUUAUUCUAUCAUACCUUCCACAGAAAACCAUAUUUCCACUUGUUUUCUCUUUGUCUUCUCUCACCUGGCAUCUUUUAAUAUACAAAAACCCUAAAGUUACUAGACAUUUAGAGAAGUUCUUCUAUCCACCCUUUUUAAAAGGAGUAGCAAGUAACUAUGAAAUCCUUAGUAAUAGCAGAGAUAUGAAAUCCUUAGUGAUAUCAGAGAUAGUGACACUAUGACCUGGAUGAAUAAGAACAAAUAUUUUAAAAUAGUAUGACUUUGAAAUAUAGGACAUUCUGUUUCUCGGGGGCUACUUCUUUUUAUUCACACUAACUUAAUUUUUAAAAAGUUAUUCAAAAUAGCUUACUUGGAAAUAAAGGGGACUUUCAAUGCAGUGGUUUUAGAAUCCAAGGCAGGAAGCACAUUUGAACUACACAAAGAACCAUCUGCAAAAGAAGGAAAGCCAUCAGAAACUUUCCCCUGUCUCUUCACCACCUUCUCCUAUACUGACUUCCCUAUCUCCAAAUGGUGUGUACUGACUUCUUUCUGUGCUUCUCCUUUUCUCUCAUUACCCUUCCCUGCUUCUGUCUGAUCUUGGUGCUUUUCUCUGCUUGCUCAUGGUUACCCCAGUUCCCAACAGGGCUUCUUAGUUCAAGUUCCAGGAGUUGACUCCCUGGAGUCAAUGAGUCAUUUAAAUUCUUGAAAAGACUCUUUGGCAUUUCUUGAGUCAGAUGUCAUCACUAUUUUAAUGAACUGCGACUAGAGGACAGGACCCUAUACAGUGCAAAUGCCAAGGGCCAUUGUCAGAUUGGCAGCCAAACUUGUCUUCUCCCAGUGUCCAACCUUAUUAUUUUAAUAUGUAUUUUGAUUAGUUACCCUUCAAUACUUUCUCUUCUCCAAUAUGGAUAAUUUGGUAUAAAAUGCUAUAUAUUUUAUUUAGUCACCAUUUUCUUUAUGUAGUAUAUAUUAAAACGUUAUGCCGGCCGGGCGCGGUGGCGCACAUCUGUAAUCCCAGCAUUUUGGGAGGCUGAGCCAGGUGGAUCACCUGAGGUCAGGAGUUCACCACCAGCCUGACUAACAUGGUGAAACCCCAUCUCUACUAAAUACAAAAAAAUUAGCCAGGCAUGGUGGUGCAUGCCUGUGAUCCGAGCUACUUGGGAGACAGACAGGAGAAUCGCUUGAACCUGGGAGGCAGAGGUUGCAGUGAGCUGAGAUCAUGCCAUUACACUCCAGCCUGGGCAACAAGAGCAAAACUCCAUCUCAAACAACAACAACAACAACAAACGUUAUGCCUUGAUGAGGUUCCUAUGGCUUAAAAAUACAACAACUUUAGAGAUUAAAACACUCAACAUUUUGAGACUAGUGAAUCUCAGCUCUGUCAUCAGGAGGAGAGAGAAAAAUUUUAUUGUCAAUGUAUGAUCAUAUAGUAAUAUAGAGUUCAUAUUUUUAAUCUGAAAUUUCCAUCCCCCAAAUCCAUUAUAAGGUGAUACAUGCAUAGCAGCUACUGGAAUAGAUAGUUUUGGUAGUUAUUUCAUUUAAUUUGGCUCUUACCAGGUUUCCUGACAUGAAUUCUUUCUUUGGAUGUCAUCUUUGCCUUGAUCCCAGGAAUCUUCUGCUAUUCCAAAAUGCUAUUCUUCUCAAACCAAAACUCUCUUCAAAUUCUUUUAAUACCUUUUCUGACUCAUUUUCCUUUUCCUUUAACUGCAGAUAUUUGAGUCCCUUUGCCCUUCCUCCCCAUUGUUCUCUAUUCUAGACAAAAAUAUUUUUUUUUAACUUAGAGAUUAGUAGAUUCUUUUGGGAGUCAUUAAAAAUUAUUUUUCUACAAGCUUGACAUGAUCUCUUAUUCCCAAAUCCA